rnacentral:lncRNA from 1 species
CACCAGGUUGCCUCUGCAAGUAGUACUGCCUUCCCUAGGUAAUGGCAGAAGCAACCCUUCCUGACCACCAAUAAUAACAACUGAAUUCUAUUGGAAUUUGUGCCAAAAUUGUGUGUUUUCUUCAAGACAUUGCUGAUAGAUGUUUUGGAGUCAUUCUCUUCUGUGUUUGUACCAUGAGCCUCUCUUCCAUCAAAACAUCUCAUCAUGGCAGCAGAAUUAGCCUGAAUUUUCCUCCACAAAGUCCUACACUGAAACUUCAUUGUUGCCUGGAGAUGACCCUGAGUUUUCAAAAGGUACAGAUUAUAUAUUUUGGAAGAUUUUAUCAUGCUGGUAAAGCUUUGACCCUGGCAAUAAACCAAGUCUAUUUCCCAAAGACAAACCUAGCUAACUAUAGAGGAGAAUGUCACAAGGAGACUGGCCACC